rnacentral:rRNA from 1 species
ACGAACGCUGGCGGCGUGCUUCACACAUGCAAGUCGAACGGAAAGGCCCUGCUUUUGUGGGGUGCUCGAGUGGCGAACGGGUGAGUAACACGUGAGUAACCUGCCCUUGACUUUGGGAUAACUUCAGGAAACUGGGGCUAAUACCGGAUAGGAGCUCCUGCUGCAUGGUGGGGGUUGGAAAGUUUCGGCGGUUGGGGAUGGACUCGCGGCUUAUCAGCUUGUUGGUGGGGUAGUGGCUUACCAAGGCUUUGACGGGUAGCCGGCCUGAGAGGGUGACCGGCCACAUUGGGACUGAGAUACGGCCCAGACUCCUACGGGAGGCAGCAGUGGGGAAUAGUGCACAAUGGGCGGAAGCCUGAUGCAGCAACGCCGCGUGCGGGAUGACGGCCUUCGGGUUGUAAACCGCUUUCGCCUGUGACGAAGCGUGAGUGACGGUAAUGGGUAAAGAAGCACCGGCUAACUACGUG